rfam:Capsicum annuum cultivar Zunla-1 chromosome 3, whole genome shotgun sequence
UGAUGUUGAUGAGGACAAUUUCUGAGCAUGCCUUUAAAUCUCUCCCAAGCUUGGUAGAGAUUCUUUCCAUCUUUUUGUCUAAAACUCAGGAUCUCACUCCUUAAACA